rnacentral:snRNA from 1 species
UCUUGGAAAAACAUAUUAUUGAG